ensembl:lncRNA
CGGGCGGUGGGCUCGGCCCCGAGCCGCUGGAGCUCGGGGGACACCGCUCGUACACGGGUGUGGGUUUGGGCGCUGCUGUGUGGCGGCGGGGUUUGGGCUCGGCGGGCCUUCCGUCUGGGCCGCCCUGUGGUUCUGAGGUGAGCACGGAUGGGGCUUGCUGGGUGGGAGCUGCUUGCCGGCGCUCAGCUUGCAGGUGCUAGCGUCCCAAGGGCGCUAAAACCACCUACCCCAUCCUCUCCCUGUAGUUCCAACUCCAGUAGUUUGCUCUUCAAGUGAUGUUUUGUCGAGUCUGAGUGGCUCUCUCACGGGGGCCGUAAGGACCUGGCACCCCCCCACUGCAGAACAGCUGCCCGCUCCCUGUUUAGCUGCAUAGGAGUUUUUUCCCCUCUUACUCUAAUCUUCCUGCAGGGAGAACAAGUGCUUAGGUUUCCUUAUUUUGAUGUGUUUGAAUUUUACAAUUAACUUCUUCCACCCUGGAGAGGUACUGGGCAUUUUUCAAGGCUAACGUGCAGUUGUAUGAGGGAUUGCCUGAAACCAGAACGUUCAACUGAACCUGGCUUUUCUCGUCAAUUAGUACUUCCCAAUAUGAUAAUUUCACCAAAAGUAAACGUUCUGCGAGCUGAAUUUCUUUACCAGAUGGUUUUGCCCACUGCUCUGACGAGUAGAGGUUAAGGAUUUUUCCACGCAUCUUAUUGAAGAUAAAAUGUAAGGGAGCUUAUACUUCAACACGUGAGGUAAAAAUUCCCUCUGCCCAAGAGCGUAUUUCAGAAACCACAUCAACAUUAUUUAGGGGAAUUGCCAGUGAUGUCCUGAUACCUCUCUGGGACGUGCUAGAAAGCUGGACAUGCUGGUUAUUUUUAUUGUGUUUUGGUUUCUAGUUCAAAUACUUAGGAAGGAUGGGAUAGAGCAAGCCAUUUUCACUUGACAACUAAUUCUUCAGUGCACUGUGCACUCUAAGGACCAGCAAGCCUUGUGGCCAGCAGUCCAGACUGCCAGCAUCAACCCUGCUGCCUGCAAUUGCAGCUGGGGCAGGAUGCUUUGGGCCAGUAAUGAAGAAAAAAUGAACAACCUGCAAGAAGGAAGGUUUUCUUUCCUAGCUGUGUGCAGGCAGACCCUAAAAACAGAAGCAGAACUGUGGACCUGAUACGUGCAGCAGUCCAGAGAAAUGCAAGAGAGCAGCUGAAGAGUGCAGGCCUGCAAGGAAGUCAAACUGAGUGAGCAUAGGCGAUCACAUCCCACUUCUUAAGGCCUCGGUUUUGCAGUCCCACUGAAAUGCUAUUUGUACCUGGGCUCGUGCAAGGAGAUGGGCUGUGUUUGUGACUGGUUUCCUGUGCUGAGUGAUGCUGUCACUGACUCGUGCAAGCAGCGCCCUGACAGCCAUGCUGCCUUCCUCCAGCAGCUGCGAGCAAGGAUUGCUUCUGUGCGGUGGCCCAGUUUUCUCGCAACGUAACUGCAGCGGCGUUCCACCUAUCUCCCAGUUCAGGCAAAUAAGAAUCCUCAGCGUUUUCAGGUGAAAGAAGUCCCUUCUCCUGUAAAGAGCCAGCGCCCUUGGGGUAAGGACAGACGGACCAAGCCAGCAAGGAAGUGAUGCCCGUUGGCUCCGCUUGACCUUGAGCAGCCAUCCACUGGAAAACAGCAUUUCUGCUGCCCCCUGCUGCAGGGGUCCUGUGUCCAGGGGAAGGGUUACCCUUCAGACACUGCAGGUCAGCCGGAGCAAGCCGUUCGAAGGAAUACGAUGGGGUGAAGAGGGUGCACGUCUGCAGUGUAAAACCGUCUUGAGUCCACCUGCAGCUUCUGAAACGGGUAGAUGUGAAUUCCCUCUUCUCACAGAAGGGAAGGGGCAGCUCGGAGCAGGUAGGGCUGUGUUCUUGAAGUCUCGGAGCUGCUCUGCCAAUAGUUAACUCUGACUCCCUGAUUUCCAUUUUGUUUUGGCAGCUCCCAGUCACUGUUCCUCUCUCUCUCUCUCUCUCUCUUUUUUCCUGGAAAAUUUCCCUUAAGGAACCACCGGUGAUGACCCAUGAGACAGUGUGUGAAUGCUUUGCAUUGUGCAGUGCUUUGACAUUUGGCAUUCCUAUGGCGUUAUCCCCCAUCAACGCAGAAUAAGUUGUCAGAGCAUGAAAUUGGUAUUUUUACAUAUUCUUAACGUACAGAUGUCAUCUGAAAGCCUCGCACAGGCAUUAUGAUUAAACUCUCUGUUUCAUUCUCUGCCCGUGAACAGAUCCGUUUGGAA